rnacentral:rRNA from 1 species
AUUGAACGCUGGCGGCAGGCUUAACACAUGCAAGUCGAGCGGGGGAGGUUGCUUCGGUAACUGACCUAGCGGCGGACGGGUGAGUAAUGCUUAGGAAUCUGCCUAUUAGUGGGGGACAACAUCUCGAAAGGGAUGCUAAUACCGCAUACGUCCUACGGGAGAAAGCAGGGGACCUUCGGGCCUUGCGCUAAUAGAUGAGCCUAAGUCGGAUUAGCUAGUUGGUGGGGUAAAGGCCUACCAAGGCGACGAUCUGUAGCGGGUCUGAGAGGAUGAUCCGCCACACUGGGACUGAGACACGGCCCAGACUCCUACGGGAGGCAGCAGUGGGGAAUAUUGGACAAUGGGGGGAACCCUGAUCCAGCCAUGCCGCGUGUGUGAAGAAGGCCUUUUGGUUGUAAAGCACUUUAAGCGAGGAGGAGGCUACUGGUAUUAAUACUACCGGAUAGUGGACGUUACUCGCAGAAUAAGCACCGGCUAACUCUGUGCCAGCAGCAGCCGCAGUAA